rnacentral:rRNA from 1 species
AAUUUUGGACAAUGGGGGAAAACCCUAUCCAGCCAUGCCGCGUGUAUGAAGAAGGUCUUCGGGUUGUAAAGCACCUUAGGCAGGGAGGAAAAGAUAUCGUCUAAUACUAUGCCGUUCUGACGAUACCGGCAGAAUAAGCACCGGCUAACUUCGUGCCAGCAGCCGCGGUAAUACGAAGGGUGCAAGCGUUAAUCGGAAUUACUGGGCGUAAAGCGAGCGUAGGCGGUUCGGUAAGGUAGAUGUGAAAGCCCAGGGCUCAACCUUGGAACUGCAUUUAAAACUGGCAAGCUAGAGUAUGGCAGAGGGGGGUGGAAUUGCAUGUGUAGCAGUGAAAUGCGUAGGUAUAGGGAGGAACACCAAUGGCGAAGGCGACCCCCUGGGAUAAUACUGAAGCUGAGGUGCGAAAGCGUGGGGAGCAAACAG